GUGCUUGCUUCAGAGGCACAUGUACUAAAAUUGGAAUGAUACAGAGAAGAUUGGCAUGGCCCCUGCGCAAGGAAUUAACCAAUGAAUGCAUAAAUAAGUGGAACAUAAAU